GCAACUGAGCCAAUCAACUCCUGAGAAAGGGGGGCACGAGUAACCAAUCAGCGGGCUGUUCGGUGAGGUACCGCCCAUACUUCCGCCGCAAGCUUCCGCCGUGAGACUCGCUUCGCUGUUGCAUUUUACGGCUCCGAUCAUUUAAUCAGUCAGAAUUAAUACAUUUUCCCGCAAUCGAUGUCAUUCGCCAGAAGAGUAAAAAUCAUGAAGUCAUGACCCAGUCGUGAUGCUGUUGGCAGGCAGUACAGUAAAGAGCUUCCUCACAGCUGCAUUCAACAGGCAUCAGGAGUGGAGAAUGAAAAAGGCAGCUCUGAAGGAUAAGGAGCAAAAGGAAGUGGGGACCAACCAAAAAAGAACCACCAAAAAGACAAUUACACCUACACCUGUAAGCUGUACGUAAAAGUAAAAGCAAAGUUACUGGCCAUAUGCAGCACAGAGGCAAAUGGUUCUGUCCAGCACCUGGACAGACUUUGGUUGAAUGGAAGUAGUCUCUGUAAGCCUUCAUAUUUCUAUUACUGUAUAUAUGUAUAUAUGCAUUUAUGUAUGUUGGUAUUUCUGAAUAUCUAUGUAUAUAUCAAU